GAUGAACGCUGGCGGCGUGCCUAAUACAUGCAAGUCGAGCGAACAGACGAGGAGCUUGCUCCUCUGACGUUAGCGGCGGACGGGUGAGUAACACGUGGAUAACCUACCUAUAAGACUGGGAUAACUUCGGGAAACCGGAGCUAAUACCGGAUAAUAUAUUGAGCCGCAUGGUUCAAUAGUGAAAGAUGGUUUUGCUGUCACUUAUAGAUGGAUCCGCGCCGCAUUAGCUAGUUGGUAAGGUAACGGCUUACCAAGGCAACGAUGCGUAGCCGACCUGAGAGGGUGAUCGGCCACACUGGAACUGAGACACGGUCCAGACUCCUACGGGAGGCAGCAGUAGGGAAUCUUCCGCAAUGGGCGAAAGCUUGACGGAGCAACGCCGCGUGAGUGAUGAAGGUCUUCGGAUCGUAAAACUCUGUUAUUAGGGAAGAACAAAUGUGUAAGUAACUAUGCACGUCUUGACGGUACCUAAUCAGAAAGCCACGGCUAACUACGUG
rnacentral:rRNA from 1 species